UCCGGUAGGGGUACCUGCGGAGGGAUCAUUACACAACAAAAAUAUGAGGGUGUGGUUUGCUGGCAACAGCGUCCGCCCCAAGUAUUUUUCACCCAUGUCUUUUGCGCACUUUUUGUUUCCUGGGCGAGUUCGCUCGCCACCAGGACCCAACCAUAAACCUUUUUUUAUGCAGUUGCAAUCAGCGUCAGUAUAAUAAUUCAAUUUAUUAAAACUUUCAACAACGGAUCUCUUGGUUCUGGCAUCGAUGAAGAACGCAGCGAAAUGCGAUACGUAGUGUGAAUUGCAGAAUUCAGUGAAUCAUCGAAUCUUUGAACGCACAUUGCGCCCUUUGGUAUUCCAAAGGGCAUGCCUGUUCGAGCGUCAUUUGUACCCUCAAGCUUUGCUUGGUGUUGGGCGUCUUUUUGUCUCUCCCCUUGUUGGGGGAGACUCGCCUUAAAACGAUUGGCAGCCGACCUACUGGUUUUCGGAGCGCAGCACAAAUUUGCGCCUUCCAAUCCACGGGGCGGCAUCCAGCAAGCCUUUGUUUUCUAUAACAAAUCCACAUUUUGACCUCGGAUCAGGUAGGGAUACCCGCUGAACUUAAGCAUAUCAUAGCC
rnacentral:rRNA from 1 species